rnacentral:rRNA from 1 species
AUGGCGAACCGCGCCUCAACCACCGAUGACCUCCGCGUGAAGAUUUCCGGCGAUGAGAUCCGGCGUUUGCUUCUUCUGCGGGUAGGAGGCGGAGGAUCCAGCGGUGACACCCACGCUAGGGAUGCAGAGGACAUGCAUGACGCGCGAUGCAAGAUGGUGGUCAUGGGUGGUGAUGCGCAUGUGUGCCACUCCAUCCAUGGCUGA